GACUGAUAUAACAAAAUCAUGACACUAACUCUGCUAUAUAAAUAUAUUAGAAUUGUUUUUGAUUUUUUUCAAGUCAUCAGUUCUUGCUAAUCUUGGUUUUGUUAUAUCUUGUACUCUUUAUAUAAUGUAAUGUCUCUCUUUAACUUAAUGAAGGGAAUUCACAAGUCACUCAAUAAUAAUUUUGUUCUUCUGUGUGGUGUAUCAUUUUCAUUCUCAAUUUCAUUUCAUCACUUUUCAACUAUUUCAUCAUGAUAAAAGCACAAUCUUGAUUCCUUGAUCUUAAUUCAACCUUUUUUUUUCUCUUCUCCUUCCUUCUCUAACCUCUAAUUUCAUCUAUCCUCUGAAUCAACAAUGGCCCUUAUACCUUUAUCCUCAAAAAUCUCCUCUUUAUCCAAUUCCUGACAAGCUUAAUGAAGACAACUUCGUUACUUUGCAACAGCCCGCUCUCUUCACAAUCCAGAGUAAAAAAGUUUCAAGAUCAUCUUCUUCCCAACACAUAACUUUCAAAGUUUGUUACUGAUGCUAAUAAAACUGCUGGCAAGGCUUCAGACAAACAUCAAGAAUGGCUUCUUCAAGAUUAUAAUCUCAGUUCUUGGUUAUUGUCUUCUAUGGAUGUUGCUUUCAAAAAUCAAAUGGUGUAUUGUACCCUUGUUCAUCAAAUUUGGAAUUGAUUACAACAAUAUUUCAUCUUUUUCAACAACACCAAGAUGAGAAAAUGCAAGGCACAGUUAAAGAAUGUUAAGAAGAUGAAUUUGUCAGCUACAUAUUAUCUUGCCAAGACUCAGAUUGUGCUAGUGACUUGGACGAUCACCGAUCAACCAGUGGAUACUAUCUCUACCUUGGUUGCAACCUGAUUAUCUACAGAGUUUAGAUGCUUGGCGGAUGCUACAGCAGAUACAGUUUAGUUGAAUAAUCUUCU